AAAUUGAAGAGUUUGAUCAUGGCUCAGAUUGAACGCUGGCGGCAGGCCUAACACAUGCAAGUCGAACGGUAACAGGAAGCAGCUUGCUGUUUCGCUGACGAGUGGCGGACGGGUGAGUAAUGUCUGGGAAACUGCCUGAUGGAGGGGGAUAACUACUGGAAACGGUAGCUAAUACCGCAUAACGUCGCAAGACCAAAGAGGGGGACCUUCGGGCCUCUUGCCAUCGGAUGUGCCCAGAUGGGAUUAGCUAGUAGGUGGGGUAACGGCUCACCUAGGCGACGAUCCCUAGCUGGUCUGAGAGGAUGACCAGCCACACUGGAACUGAGACACGGUCCAGACUCCUACGGGAGGCAGCAGUGGGGAAUAUUGCACAAUGGGCGCAAGCCUGAUGCAGCCAUGCCGCGUGUAUGAAGAAGGCCUUCGGGUUGUAAAGUACUUUCAGCGGGGAGGAAGGGAGUAAAGUUAAUACCUUUGCUCAUUGACGUUACCCGCAGAAGAAGCACCGGCUAACUCCGUGCCAGCAGCCGCGGUAAUACGGAGGGUGCAAGCGUUAAUCGGAAUUACUGGGCGUAAAGCGCACGCAGGCGGUUUGUUAAGUCAGAUGUGAAAUCCCCGGGCUCAACCUGGGAACUGCAUCUGAUACUGGCAAGCUUGAGUCUCGUAGAGGGGGGUAGAAUUCCAGGUGUAGCGGUGAAAUGCGUAGAGAUCUGGAGGAAUACCGGUGGCGAAGGCGGCCCCCUGGACGAAGACUGACGCUCAGGUGCGAAAGCGUGGGGAGCAAACAGGAUUAGAUACCCUGGUAGUCCACGCCGUAAACGAUGUCGACUUGGAGGUUGUGCCCUUGAGGCGUGGCUUCCGGAGCUAACGCGUUAAGUCGACCGCCUGGGGAGUACGGCCGCAAGGUUAAAACUCAAAUGAAUUGACGGGGGCCCGCACAAGCGGUGGAGCAUGUGGUUUAAUUCGAUGCAACGCGAAGAACCUUACCUGGUCUUGACAUCCACGGAAGUUUUCAGAGAUGAGAAUGUGCCUUCGGGAACCGUGAGACAGGUGCUGCAUGGCUGUCGUCAGCUCGUGUUGUGAAAUGUUGGGUUAAGUCCCGCAACGAGCGCAACCCUUAUCCUUUGUUGCCAGCGGUCCGGCCGGGAACUCAAAGGAGACUGCCAGUGAUAAACUGGAGGAAGGUGGGGAUGACGUCAAGUCAUCAUGGCCCUUACGACCAGGGCUACACACGUGCUACAAUGGCGCAUACAAAGAGAAGCGACCUCGCGAGAGCAAGCGGACCUCAUAAAGUGCGUCGUAGUCCGGAUUGGAGUCUGCAACUCGACUCCAUGAAGUCGGAAUCGCUAGUAAUCGUGGAUCAGAAUGCCACGGUGAAUACGUUCCCGGGCCUUGUACACACCGCCCGUCACACCAUGGGAGUGGGUUGCAAAAGAAGUAGGUAGCUUAACCUUCGGGAGGGCGCUUACCACUUUGUGAUUCAUGACUGGGGUGAAGUCGUAACAAGGUAACCGUAGGGGAACCUGCGGUUGGAUCACCUCCUUACCUUAAAGAA
rnacentral:rRNA from 1 species